GUGCUGUGUAUGAUGUGUGUGAGAGUGCUGUGUAUGAUGUGUGUGAUGAGUGUGAGAGUGCUGUGUAUGAUGAGUGCUGUGUAUGAUGUGUGUGAGAGUGCAGAGUGUGAGAGUGCUGUGUAUGAGAGUGCUGUGUAUGAUGUGUGUGAGAGUGCAGAGUGUGAGAGUGCUGUGUAUGAGAGUGCUGUGUAUGAUGUGUGUGAGAGUGCAGAGUGUGAUGAGUGUGAGAGUGCUGUGUAUGAUGUGUGUAAGAGUGCAGAGUGUGAUGAGUGUGAGAGUGCUGUGUGUGAGAGUGCAGAGUGUGAUGAGUGUGAGUGAUGAGUGUGAGAGUGCUGUGUAUGAGAGUGCUGUGUAUGAUGUGCGUGAGAGUGCAGAGUGUGAUGUGUGUGAGAGUGCUGUGUAUGAUGUGUGUGAUGAGUGUGAGAGUGCUGUGUAUGAUGUGUGUGAUGAGUGUGAGAGUGCUGUGUAUGAUGAGUGCAGAGUGUGAUGAGUGCAGAGUGUGAUGAGUGCAGAGUGUGAUGAGUGUGAGAGGGCUGUGUAUGAUGUGUGUGAGAGUGCAGAGUGUGAUGAGUGUGAGAGUGCUGUGUAUGAUGUGUGUGAGAGUGCAGAGUGUGAUGAGUGCAGAGUGUGAUGAGUGCAGAGUGUGAUGAGUGUGAGAGUGCAGAGGUGAUGAGUGCGAGGAUGAGCGCAGAGGAGCGAGUGUGAGGAGUGCUGUGUAAGAGCAGAGGUGAUGAGUGGAGAGUGCUGUGUGCAGAGCGGAGGAUGAGUGUGAGAGUGCUGUGUGUAAGAGUGCAGAGUGUGAUGAGUGUGAGAGUGCUGUGUAUGAUGUGUGUGAGAGUGCUGUGUGUAAAUGUGUGUUGGGGGGGUAAAUAAAAAACUAAG